GAUGAACGCUGGCGGCGUGCCUAAUACAUGCAAGUCGAGCGAACAGACGAGGAGCUUGCUCCUCUGAUGUUAGCGGCGGACGGGUGAGUAACACGUGGAUAACCUACCUAUAAGACUGGGAUAACUUCGGGAAACCGGAGCUAAUACCGGAUAACAUGUUGAACCGCAUGGUUCAACAGUGAAAGACGGUCUUGCUGUCACUUAUAGAUGGAUCCGCGCCGCAUUAGCUAGUUGGUAAGGUAACGGCUUACCAAGGCAACGAGGCGUAGCCGACCUGAGAGGGUGAUCGGCCACACUGGAACUGAGACACGGUCCAGACUCCUACGGGAGGCAGCAGUAGGGAAUCUUCCGCAAUGGGCGAAAGCCUGACGGAGCAACGCCGCGUGAGUGAAGAAGGUCUUCGGAUCGUAAAACUCUGUUAUUAGGGAAGAACAAAUGUGUAAGUAACUAUGCACGUCUUGACGGUACCUAAUCAGAAAGCCACGGCUAACUACGUG
rnacentral:rRNA from 1 species